rnacentral:rRNA from 1 species
GAUGAACGCUGGCGGCGUGCCUAAUACAUGCAAGUCGAACGCGCAGCGAAAGGUGCUUGCACCUUUCAAGCGAGUGGCGAACGGGUGAGUAACACGUGGAUAACCUGCCUCAAGGCUGGGGAUAACAUUUGGAAACAGAUGCUAAUACCGAAUAAAACUUAGUAUCGCAUGAUACAAAGUUGAAAGGCGCUACGGCGUCACCUAGAGAUGGGUCCGCGGUGCAUUAGUUAGUUGGUGGGGUAAAGGCCUACCAAGACAAUGAUGCAUAGCCGAGUUGAGAGACUGAUCGGCCACAUUGGGACUGAGACACGGCCCAAACUCCUACGGGAGGCUGCAGUAGGGAAUCUUCCACAAUGGGCGAAAGCCUGAUGGAGCAACGCCGCGUGUGUGAUGAGGGCUUUAGGGUCGUAAAGCACUGUUGUAUGGGAAGAAAUGCUAGAAUAGGGAAUGAUUCUAGUUCGACGGUACCAUACCAGAAAGGGACGGCUAAAUAC